rnacentral:rRNA from 1 species
UACGGGGGGGGGUAAGCGUUGUUCGGAAUUACUGGGCGUAAAGGGCUCGUAGGCGGCCAACUAAGUCAUACGUGAAAUCCCUCAGCUUAACUGGGGAACUGCGUGUGAUACUGGAUGGCUUGGAUUUGGGAGAGGGAUGCGGAAUUCCAGGUGUAGCGGUGAAAUGCGUAGAUAUCUGGAGGAACACCGGUGGCGAAGGCGGCAUCCUGGGCCAAUAUUGACGCUGAGGAGCGAAAGCCAGGGGAGCAAAACGGGG